CCUAGUGGUUAGAGUGUAGAGGAGGCAGGUAGCCUAGUGGUUAGAGUGUAGAGGAGGCAGGUAGCCUAGUGGUUAGAGUGUAGAGGAGGCAGGUAGCCUAGUGGUUAGAGUGUAGAGGAGGCAGGUAGCCUAUUGGUUAGAGUGUAGAGGAGGCAGGUAGCCUAGUGGUUAGAGUGUAGGGGAGGCAGGUAGCCUAGUGGUUAGAGUGUAGAGGAGGCAGGUAGCCUAGUGGUUAGAGUGUAGGGGAGGCAGGUAGCCUAGUGGUUAGAGUGUAGAGGAGGCAGGCAGCCUAGUGGUUAGAGUGUAGAGGAGGCAGGUAGCCUAGUGGUUAGAGUGUAGAGGAGGCAGGUAGCCUAGUGGUUAGAGUGUAGAGGAGGCAGGUAGCCUAGUGGUUAGAGUGUAGAGGAGGCAGGUAGCCUAGUGGUUAGAGUGUAGAUGAGGCAGGUAGCCUAGUGGUUAGAGUGUAGAGGAAGCAGGUAGUCUAGUGGUUAGAGUGUAGAGGAGGCAGGUAGCCUAGUGGUUAGAGUGUAGAGGAGGCAGGUAGCCUAGUGGUUAGAGUGUAGAGGGGGCAGGUAGCCUAGUGGUUAGAGUGUAGAGGAGGCAGGUAGCCUAGUGGUUAGAGUGUAGAGGAGGCAGGUAGCCUAGUGGUUAGAGUGUAGAGGAGGUAGGUAGCCUAGUGGUUAGAGUGUAGAGGAGGCAGGCAGCCUAGUGGUUAGAGUGUAGAGGAGGCAGGUAGCCUAG
ensembl:lncRNA